AACACAGAGCCCGACGUGGGGCCCCAACUCACAAACUGUGAGAUCAUGACCUGAGCUGAAGUCGGAUGCUUAAUUGACUGAGCCACCCAGACACCCCCCUAGCACAAGUGUUUAGGUGUCCACGGGCACUCAUUUCUGUUGGGCAUAUGCCCAGGAGUAGAAUUCCUGGGUCACAGAGUACGCAUGUAUUCAGCUUUCGUGGACACGACUGAACAGUUUUCCUAAGUGGUUGAACCAUACUGCAUUCCCACCGGGAGCCAAGUGGUACAAAUCCACCUCAAGCUAGCUCAGUCAAAAAGCGUACAGUUUCCCACAACCAAACCAUGGGUCGAGGGAGGGUGCCAUUACUUCAGGGUAGAGGAGACCCUGCCAGGCUCUCUCUCUGUCUCUGGGCCUGUCAACACCUUUCUCUCUGACUCAAGACUGACUUCCUCCAUGUGUCACCCUGGCCUUACACUUCACAGCCCCACUGAUUGGCCCGAGCUGGAUUCUGUAUCAACCCCUGGGGGCCUGUAAUUGGCAGCCCCCGUUGGAUCCACAGGGGUGGAGGAGGGGAAGAGCAGUUCUCCCUAAAGAUAGGCACGGUGUCCCCAGACUGCAAGGGAGCCAUGUGCUGCAGGGACAGCGGGUCAGGUGCUGGAUUCCAUUCCCAGCUCUGCAGCAUCUCCUCCUAGCCAUAUGACCCUGGGCAAUUGCUGCAGACUGAAUGUUAAUGUCCCCCCAGGUAUGCUGAAGCCUAAUCCCCCAUGUGAUCGUAUUUGGAGGUGGGGCUUUGGAGAGGUGAUGAUGUCAUAAGGGCAGAAUCUUCAUGAAUGGGGAUAGUGCCUUAUAAAAGAGACCCAGAGAACUUCCUCACCCCUUCCACCGUGGGAGGACACGGCGAGAAGGCCAUCUGAACCAGGAAGCAGGCUCUCCCCAGAACCCAAAUCAGCCGGUUCUUUGAUCUGGGACUUUCCAGCCUCCAGAACUCCCAUUAAGGACUUUUCCAGCCCCAAUUUUGCCACGCAACGGUUUCUGCAAUGCCUGGAAACAAGGAACAUGUGCUUCGAGAGUCUCCCUUUAAGGCAGUAACAGGCUGACAACAGAGACUUAAGAAAUGCUUCCUAGCAAUCAAAAUGCAUUAUGUCUAAAAGCGUCCCAUCAGAGGGAAACCAGGGAGGCGCCCAGAAGUGAAAGUGCUGGAUCAUAUGUGCCGGGUCCGUAUCCCCAGAGCAAGACUGUGCUGUCCUGGAGUAGAUGCAAGAAGGAAGCAUCUCGUACACCGAGUGCGGCAGGUGCAAGUGUUUGAAGCUGUCGGUUGCUCUUCCUGACACCUGCAGAGUCCAUCGCUGCAAUUCAGAGCCAGGUGCUUGAAAAACCGGGCCGGGCCUUGCUGAGGACGGGCCGCGUGUUUACGCCCAGAGCACCCACUCUGCGCCAAGCCCUGUGUCACAAGAUUCCAUGUGCUCCAGGAGCAACAAAGAGGAGACCCUAGCGGAUGGAUGAGCCAGCACUUUGAAGAGCUGGGUCCCGAUGCCAACAAUACGAGGCCCUAGAAGAUGACUGAGGACGCUGGUAGAGUACCUGUUCAGCACCGUCUUACUUGAUGUGCGGCUUCAGUUUGCCCAGAUAUAAAGUGGGGUAAGUACCUCUGCUCUGCCUGCGCCCCAAGGUGGUUGUAAGAAUCCAGAUGUGAAAGUGCUGUGAAAUUGCCAAUUCUGAGGAACACGGAGAUGACUGCCCACUUCUCUGUCCAGGAUGCUGCCGGAAGUGUGGUCAGUGGUCACAUGGCCUCCAGCUCUCAGCCCCUGUAGCCGGGCUCAGCUGCAGAUAGCCACCUCGCCCGAGGUCGUGCCCUCCCCAGGGCAGCCUGCAGCCAGGGGAUGAGACAGCAGGGGGCACAAAGACCCAGCCAUUUGGGUCCACAAGGGACACUGUUGGGCACUGGUUGAGCCUGUACCAUCAGACCUGCAUCGAGGUCUGUCUCUGCCCCCUACCUCCUCCCCCUCUCUUUCCUCUCACACGUGCUGACCCCUCGUAACACCUUGCACCCCAAACUUCACCCCCAACUGCUUUCAGGGAACCCCGCCUGCAAAAACUAUGUAAGAAGGUUGUCUUGCUAACACCACUAUCCUCAUUACACAGAGAAGGCAGCCCCUGGGGCCCAAACCACCCACCCCUGAAAAAUAGGCCCUUUAAUGCCGGCUCAGAUUCCUAGAAAUCCGGAAAUACAGUUCAGCUGGGAGGGAGGCUGUCCAAGUUGAGUUUUGUUAGAGUUGCAGGUGAAGCUACAAUGUGGGAUAGAAGGUGUGUGGAGCUACAAAGCUAAUACGCACCUCUUUCCAGAAGGCCCUACUCAGGGAGCCUGGGCAGUGAGUGUGUCCCAUGGCGAUGGCCAAUGCUCGGUCCCUGGGCAAACCCCCACCUCUGCUGCUGCCAGUAGAGUCUUCACAGCUCGCGGGAAAGUGGGGAAAGUUGGACAGAGUGCUGGAUCUUAGGGGAGAGAUUAUGCUGGUCAUACUUGUCUGCGGUUAGCAUGACUACACAAUGCUGAGAAUAGAGGGUAGCUUGUUAUCUCUUUCGAUCGCUUCACUUGGCCAAAGCGGCUCCACCCGGAAAUCUAGGUCUGAGGGCCACUGACGGGUCCCAAAUCACCUGAGCGGGCUUCCUGUCCUGCUGGCCGAGAGGUCUGACCGCAGGCAAGGACCAGCAGCCUGCUGACCUUGGCCUAGCAGACAAGGUGGGCACCUUGGCCGUGGUUGUGUCCAGGACGGCCGAUGGCUUGCCGAUCAUCCUUCUUGGGGCCUCAGCCCCCUCCAAAAAUUGAGCUGCAGGUGGGGUGACCUCGGGUCCCUUCCUGCCUUUAAGGUGCCCACAGUGAGAUCCUCAGAGGAGAAUUCCAGAAGGAGGGGCCAGUAAGGACCGGCAGGCUGUGGGUGCCUGGUCCUCAGCCCCGUGCUUCAGGUCCCGCCAGAGAAGGAAUGAGGGCCAGGUGGGUCAACAGCACCCCCGCGUGAGCGGUGAGCCCCCAUCAUCACUCCUGGGCUAAUUGCCACCCCACCCGCCCGCCAGGUGCCCGCCCGUGUGUCCCCAGCUCUGGGGCUGCUAUUAACGACAUGUUGCAGCAGCUUUACGAAGCGUGGCUCGGAACAAUUUUACACCUCAUUUGAUUUAUGUUCCCGGAUUCGCUCCUCUCUCAGAGACUCCCUCCCUCUGGAGAGACAGCAUGUGUCAUCUGCUCCGGCUCUCCUGCGUUCCCACAGAGCCAGUCUCUGCGUCAGGAAGGGCCGGCCUCAGACCCUAGGUCCUGAGCAAACAAUCCCGUGACCUGGCUCUUCCUCCAGGGCUUUCUUCCAGAUGUGUGUCCCUGAGCCGGGACACCUGUGACUGAGGCCUUCGGAGGUGGGCUUGGCCACGACAGAAUCCCAGAGCAACGAAAGUCCUUGGGGAUUGGUUACCAGCACACCCGCAUCUUACAGAUGGGGAAACUGAGAGGUGGAAAGAGUCCUCGGUGUCUUCAAGACCCUUCUGAAGGUCACAUGGCCAGUCUGUGGCAGACGCCUGCCUCCCCUCUCAGCAGUAAAGAGGGCUGGUCCUCACAGGGAGUCACCAGGUCAGCUGUGAGCCAGCCUUCCCGCCAGUAGGACCUGCUGGACUGGACUCUUUGUCCAGACAGUGUCCUUGACGUAGGCUGAAGAAAUGGACGAGCAACAGGGCCAUCUGGUCCACCUCCCUCAUUGCAGAGGGAAGGCAAGCAGGAUGGGAGAGGAAGAGUGAUUCCCUGCAAAGCACACAGCCAGUGGGAUGCAGGCUGGGCUAGAACGCUGGCUUCACGACCCUGGGAUCUUAUCCCCUUCUCCCUAAGAGGCAAGAACGUUCCUACAACCACAUCUUCUCAUUCACUCACUUUUGAACGGAUGCCUCUCAGGAACCAGGCUUGGUGGUAAGCUCAGAGGACGCGAGGAUGGACCAGACAGAGAAGCACCCGGCUGUCCCAGCCCAGUGUAGUGAGGCCGCGAGGGAACGUGUGGGCCCCAGCAGCGGACCCCUCCCUCUGCUCAGCGAACUCCUGCCAUGGGGAAUGUUGCUUGCAGGGGAACCCACUGCCCACCACAGAGGCCGGUAACCCGUAAUCCCAGCCGCCCUUGAGAUAUGUGAACAAGGUUUGACCCGUUAGAUAUACCCGUCCCAGGUUAUACUCAAGCUGGUGACAUGAAGAGAGAGGGGACAAGGAUAUUCUCUGUGGCCACAGGGCUGGGGCAGCGGCACUAAGAUCGAGUGCCCAGAGGCAGAGGUAACACUGGUGACAUGGGUGGUGCGGGCCACAGUGUCCCCGCAGCCAGUUCUGGCUCUUCGUGAGGGUGAUAGUUCCCACUAGCAUGAUACCCCGACCCACCUGGAGGACAGGGGAGGCUCUCCGUAUUCAUCAGAGAUAACUUCUGAUUUCGGAAACUUUCAAAUCUAUACGAAAGCAGAAUAGCACCAAGAACCCCCACGUGUCCACUGCCAAGCUACGAGAUUCACCAACAUUCACCAUUCUUUUUUUUUUAAAUUUUUUAAAAUGUUUAUUUUUGUGAGAGAGAGAGACAGAGUGUGAAUGGGGGAGGGGCAGAGAGAGAGGGAGACGCAGAAUCCGAAGCAGCCUCCAGGCUCCGAGCUGUCAGCACGGAGCCCAAUGCGGAGCUCGAACUCACGAACUGUGAGCUCAUGACCUGAGCUGAUGUCAGAUGCUCAACUGACCGAGCCACCCAGGCGCCUCUAACAUCCUGCCAUUCUUGUUCGUCUUCCCUCCUGUAGAGUUUCCAAACACUUCUUUCCUCAAAACAUUUUAAUUAAGAGUUCACUUUUCAGCAGAGUUUUAGGUUUACAGAAAAUUUGAGCAGGUAGUACCACGGAUUCCCCUAAACUCCAUCCCAUACCCAAUUUCUCCUACUAUUAACAUCUUACGUUAGUAUGGUACAUUUGUUACAAGUAACAAACCAAUGCUGAUAUGUUGUUAUUAAAUCGAGUCCAUACGUGAUCAGACUGCCUUAGUUUUUCAUCAGUGACCUUUGCCUGUUCAGGAUCCCAUGCAAGAGACCACAUUAUGCUUAGCUGUCAGGUUUUGGGAGCCCUUCUGGGUUGUGAUAGUUUCACAGACUUUCCUUGAUUCUGAUGAUCUUAAGAGUUUUUGAGGAGUGGCUUAUCAGGUAUCUUGUAGGUUUCCUGCUCUGGGGAUUUGUUACCGUUUUUCUCCUGACACAAGAGCUUUAAGACCCUUGGGACCUCCUGAGUGAUGGGUGUCUUUGUAUGCUAACCGGAUGGCUGUGGUUGACAAAUACUGUCUGUCUUGCCAGAAAGACUGGGGCAAGAUGGGAAGGUAGCAGCUCUCAGUCCCACCCUACCCCCAUCCUCUGGGGCAAGGAAAGGGGCUGGAGAUUGACUUAAAUAAUUGAUAGUGCCUACCUGCUAAAGCUUCCAUAAAAAUCCCUAAACGAUGGAGUUCAGAGAGCUUCUAGGUCAGUAAACACAUCCAUGUCCUGGGAUGUCCAUAUGGCAGGGAGCGAUGUACCUUCGCUUCAGGACUCUUCUGGACUUCAUCCUCUGGACCUCUUCAACUGGCUGUUCCUCUGUACCCUUUAUAAUAUCCUUUCUGAUGCCACCAGUAGAUGUGUUUUCCUAAGUGCUGUGAGUUGUUACAGCAAAAUAUCAAAUCUGAGGAGAAGAGAGUGGGAAACUUCAGUUGGCAGCCCAGUCACAGCGAAGUGUGGGUAACCUGGACACCCGCUCCUUGUGAUUGGUGUCUGUGGUGGGGGAAGUUCUGUGGGGCUGAGCCCUUCACCUAUGGCAUCCGUGUCAACUCUGGGUCAUCAGUAUCAGAAUUGAGUCAAACCGAAGGACACUCAGUCGGUGUCUGUAGAAAAUUGGCGAGUUGCUUGGGGUGGAAAAUCCACAUAUUUGGUGUCAGAGGUGUUGUGAGUAGAGCAACAGUUUUUGCUCUUCAGAAUCCCCCUUGUUUUUGAUGACCUUGACAGUUUUGAGAAGUACUGGCCAGCUGUAUUGUAAGAUGUACCCCCCCACCCCGUUGGAAUUUGUCUACUGUAUAUCUCAUGAUUAGACGGGGGUUAUGGGUUUGGGGAAAAACCCCAGAGGUGAAGUGCCACUCCCAUUACACUGUAUUAAGUGUAUGUGCCAUCAACAUGACUUAUUAUUGAUGUUGGCCUCGAUUGCCUGCUGAAGUGGUGAUCGUGAGGUUUCUCCACUGUUGGGUUACCCAUAUCCCCCCUUUCUGUACUGGACUCUUUGGAAGGAAGUCACUAUGUGCAGCCCACAGUUAGAAAAUUAAGGACUUGUGAUCCCACUCCUUUAAAGUGGACACCUAGGGGCACCUGGGUGGCUUAGUCGGUUAAGCAUCCGACUUCAGCUCAGGUCAUGACCUCGCGGUCCGUGAGUUCAAGCCCUGCGUCGGGCUCUUGUGCUGACAGCUCAGAGCCUGGAGCCUGCUUCAGAUUCUGUGUCUCCCCCUCUCUGCCCCUCUCCUGCUCGCACUCUCUCUCUCUCUGAAAAAUAAACAUUAAAAAAAAAUAAAAAAUAAAGUGGAGAACUUACAUAAUUUGAAGCAACUUCCGGACAUCCUAUCUUUUUACUCCUGAACACGUCAGUAUGUAUCUCUCACAUAUGGACUUAAAAACCACACACCCCGCUACAUUACCACUAUGCCACCCAACACUGCCAACAAUGAUAUCAUUUAAUAUCCAGACCAUGCUCAAUUUUCCCUGAUUGUCCGGAAAAAAGCAUUUCUAUGGCUGGUUUAUUCAAAUCAGAAUCCAAACAAUAUCCACCUGUUAGAUUUGGCUAACAUGCUCUUAAAUGUCUUUGCACUUAUAAAAGUUUUCCUUCCUUUUUUUGGUUGUGGGCCUCUUAUUUCCUGAGGAAUUAGGGUCAGUUCUUUUAGAGAAUUUUCUACCUCUGGUCUUGGCUGAUGGCUGUCUCAUAGUUUUGUUUAAUAACUCCCCUGGCCUCUGCAUUUCUUGGAAACUGGUGGUUACAUCAGAGGCUUAAUCAGCUUCAGGUUGGUUAUUUUGGCAUCCUAUCGGGACAUAUGAAUGUCCAGAUGCCCCUCUUUUCAUGGUGCUGAAAUUGACCAAGGGUUGACAUGUUGUCAACAUUUCUGCUUAGCAAGUGCUGCUCAUUGAUGCCUAGGCCGAUAGCCUCUUAAUAAAUCCCUUUCCUUCUUAAAGAGGGGAGUUGAUUUCUGUUGCGUGUAACUAAAAACUCUGCUGAAUAAACGGAUGUCCAUUCUA